rnacentral:rRNA from 1 species
UUAGUUGCCAUCAUUCAGUUGGGCACUCUAGCGAGACUGCCGGUAAUAAACCGGAGGAAGGUGGGGAUGACGUCAAAUCAUCAUGCCCCUUAUGACCUGGGCUACACACGUGCUACAAUGGUUGGUACAACGAGUUGCGAGUCGGUGACGGCGAGCUAAUCUCUUAAAGCCAAUCUCAGUUCGGAUUGUAGGCUGCAACUCGCCUACAUGAAGUCGGAAUCGCUAGUAAUCACGGAUCAGCACGCCGCGGUGAAUACGUUCCCGGGCCUU